ensembl:lncRNA
UAUAUAUGUAUAUAUAUAUAUAUAAUCUAUAUCUCCUGAAUUAGUUCAUGGAGACUAAAUCCUCUCUGGCAUGUUGCUAUAGUUCAAGUUCUAGCAUCAUUCUUUUGAAAUGUGUGUACAUUUAUGUAUAUUAUGUACACCCAUGGGUUCAUAUACACAUACAUAGGUGUAUAUUAGUUUCUAUAAAACGAUAAGUAUAAAUGUCAACAUAAUAUGAAUAUUUACAGCUAACAAUGCUGUAAAUGUGAAUCUUUUAAUUAUUCAUGUAAACAGCUUGUUAGGCGUACUAUUAUUUGUGGACUAAGUGAAUGUAACAUAGUCGUGUGACUCCAAACAUUGAUUCCUCUAAACGGGUUUAAACAAAACGAGAAAAAGUGUUUGUAAAUGUCUAUGAACUAAUAUUCUGUUUUCUGUGAAGUUCAUGGACCAACGGAAUGAAACUAACAGGAGAUAUAAAGUUAAGCUGUUCAUCACAUGACAUGUAAUCACCAGCACGUUGGUGCAGAUACGAGUAAAUGCUCUUUAUAUAUAUAAACACUUGGCUGCCUCUCGACGGGAGCUCAACUCCGUUUAAAACAAACUCAAAAGAUCUUUAAGAAGAAACAGAGCCAAUCUGUCGCCAACAUGACUAAUCCUGCUGGCAGAGGCUCUGCGCGGUUACCACGGUUACCACGGCAACGAGGGGGGUGUGCCAUCCACGACGCGGUACGAAGGGCUGCAGGAGGAUGCGUUUACCGUCGGCCCAUCCGUGUCAAUAAGAGGAAUACUGAGCUGGAGUCAUCGCAGCCGUAGGGUCACAGCAGCGGCACAUGUUUGUAGUCGUCUCUAAUCAACUAAUGACUUCAUUAAUCCGCUUAAGCUCCUCUUUUGUGGAACCAGCUUCCACUUUCUGUCCAGGGGGCAGAUUCGGUCAGCUCAUCUAAGAUAAAGCUUAAGACUUUCCUCUUUGAUAUGGCUUAUAGUUAGGGCUGGCUCAGGUUAGUCUGGACCAGCCCUUAGUUAAGCUGCUGUAGGCUUAGACUCACAGGUUUCCAUGCAUCAUGGUUCUAUCUGGAUCCUGUUCCUGCCUCCUGCCGUGGCCCUGCUGACACCUGCUGCUGCCAUCAUCAGUAUUAUUACUAUUUUAAAUAUGAAUCAUAUUACUAUUACUGUCCACAUAAACCACCAUUUCCUAAAGGCGUGUGCUUUUCCUCCCCACAGGCUUCUGUGGAUGGUGGUUCUAUGUGAUGGUGGUUCUAUGAGGUGGGGGUUCUAUCUGAUGGUGGUUCUAUGGGAUGGUGGUUCUAUCUGAUGGUGGUUCUAUGAGGUGGUGGUUCUAUCUGAUGGUGGUUCUAUGAGGUGGUCGUUCUAUGUGAUGGUGGUUCUAUGAGGUGGUCGUUCUAUGUGAUGGUGGUUCUAUGAGGUGGUCGUUCUAUGUGAUGGUUCUAUGAGGUGGUGGUUCUAUCUGAUGGUGGUUCUAUGAGGUGGUGGUUCUAUGGGAUGGUGGUUCUAUCUGAUGGUGGUUCUAUGUGAUGGUGGUUCUCUCUGAUGGUGGUUCUAUGUGAUGGUGGUUCUAUGUGAUGGUGGUGGUCCCUGCAGUGGUCCUGCAGUACACCUGCUCACUACUCCCAUUAUUUGAAUCAUCUCUGUCAUAUGAAUUGAAUGUAUCGUUCAUCUUCCACAUUGUUCAUUCUGUCCUCAUGACAUCAUCGUAGUCUGUCCAUCAGGAGACGGAUCCUCCUCUGACGUUCUCACUGAGGGUUCUUCCCUUUUCUCCCCAUGGAAGGGUUUCAUUGUUUGGGGAGUUUUUCCUGUGAGGGUAUCUGGACAGAGGAUGUCACAUGUGUACAGACUAAUACCCACUGAGGCAAAUUUGUAAUUUGCAAUUUUAGCUCUACAAAAUAAAAUAAAUUGAAUUGAAUUCAUUAUUUUCUAAUUGAUUUGUGACUUGGUCAACGUUUCUCUUAUAUCAUAAUCAAUUAGAUAUUUUUAUAGCUCAACAAUCCAAAAUCCCACAUUUCCCUUAGAGGGAUUUUAGAAUCUGUUUCAGAACAUAGCGACAUGAUGG